CUGAGCUGUUGCAGUGAAGUCGUGAGCAUCCUCGUGAGGCCUUACAUAAACCACUCGUGUGCCCCACCCACACAUGGGAGUAUUAACUGACAGGACCAGUUCAAUGCAGAGGUGGGGAGUCCAAACCUAAUCCACUCAUGUGCAGCUGAAAUGUUCUGGGGUUUUGGGGGAGCUGGCUGAGAUAUUCCAUUUUAAUCAUCCCCAAUCAUUAUCAGUCGUGGGGUUUGGUUCCAAAGUGGUAUGAAGUCAGAAGAGACUACACACUGAGGCUGGAGGAGGAGCCAAAAGUUACAUGGAAGGCCAGGAGCAGGACUGUGAACCAGAGGGGACGUUGUCUUAGGCAGGAAACAGGACCCAGAGUGGGAGGCAGGUGGGACCAGGAAGCAGCAGCUGGGAUGGCGCUGCAGGGGUGUGGGGCUGGCUCCAUAGGCCCAGCUUCAUAGCCUAGAUCUCCCUCACAGCUGCCGAGUGAGUGU
rnacentral:lncRNA from 1 species